GUUGCCAGCGGUUCGGCCGGGAACUCAAAGGAGACUGCCAGUGAUAAACUGGAGGAAGGUGGGGAUGACGUCAAGUCAUCAUGGCCCUUACGAGUAGGGCUACACACGUGCUACAAUGGCGUAUACAAAGAGAAGCGACCUCGCGAGAGCAAGCGGACCUCAUAAAGUACGUCGUAGUCCGGAUUGGAGUCUGCAACUCGACUCCAUGAAGUCGGAAUCGCUAGUA
rnacentral:rRNA from 1 species